UACAGGGGGGGGCAAGCGUUGUUCGGAAUCACUGGGCGUAAAGCGCGCGCAGGCGGUCAUCUACGUCUGGGGUGAAAGCCCGGAGCUCAACUCCGGGAUUGCCUUGGAUACGGGAUGACUUGAGGAUCGGAGAGGCAAGGGGAAUUCCACGUGUAGCGGUGAAAUGCGUAGAGAUGUGGAGGAACACCUGUGGCGAAGGCGCCUUGCUGGCCGAUUUCUGACGCUGAGGCGCGAAAGCGUGGGGAGCAAACAGG
rnacentral:rRNA from 1 species